GUGAAUUUGCGCGACUAAAACAAGGAUACCCCUACACAUUAUUGAUUAUGAUAAAAAAUGACAUGAUUGAUUGAGUUAUAAGCAACGCUUGACUAAUAAUUAUUAGGAUUAAGUGAUAAAGACCACUUAAAUGCAUGUACUAGAUCAUUAAGUCUUUUUGUUCCACUAUAGCCAGCCAUGUAGUCACAUCUAUUUUUUUAUUAAAUGAUGUGCUUAAACCAGGCUAAUAAACAUUGCUAAACAUAUGAGUACCUUUACAUUUAUUUUUCCAUAAACAUAAAUAAAUAAAUAAAUAACAGACUAAAUCUCCAAAACAAAAUAUCCACGAAAUUGAUAGCUGAAAAUGCUCCAGCGAACACAUAGGAAUGACAUUCAAUGCUGCAGUUGUCCAUAAGUUAACUGGGUUCUUCACGGGAAGCCUAAGCAGCUAGUAGUGAGAGGUCACAAGGAUUUUACUUACAAAUUUUAGUUUAUUGUUCUCGAGGUAAACCAAUAAUGAAAUGGAAGAUCAACCGUUACACAACAUCACAAAUUGCAAUGGAGGUUCUACAUGUGAUGACAUACAUGUAAAAGGUAUGUCUGAUAACAGAGAGAAUACAGAAAUGCUUUUGAGUUCUGACUAAAAAAACAUAUAUAUUUUCUCACCAUGAAGAAAGAUAGUGUCAAGAAUCUAACAAAGCCAACACCUGCAAAUGCUCUGGAGUAGGAACUUGAAAUUUCCAACUGGAGAUCUGGAUGUUUCAUAAAAAAAACAUAUCCUGAUAAAAAGGAAUGUAAGAAUGAGAGUGAUGGGAUAAAAAUCAGACGCCAACCAUCUUGAAAAGAAUGAAGCAGAGGAAUCCAAGGAAGAUAAAGAGGAAUAAAUAAUCCACAAAAACGAAGAAAUUGGUUGACCCAUGAUUUCUUUUCUUCUUCUUAUUGUUGAUAUUGGGCUGCUUCGGUUCAUCGGCUAGCGGUUCAAGUUUGGCCAUUGCGUCAAAAUUGGUGGUUUGUCAGGGAUCUCUAGGGUUCCAAGAUCAGAUCUUGGAGAUCUGGGCUUCCUUCUGAAUCGAUUCGUUAAAAGGGUCGGUUGUAUCCCACGCGUUUUCUCACCAGUAGACGUUGCAGGCUCACAUUUACACAAGCAAAUAACAUGACCCUAGGCCCAUCUGCCAUGGAGCUAACCAGCUAGCUCUUCGCGUCAUCCAGUUGGCAUAUAUAUAUAUAUAUAUAUAUA
rnacentral:misc_RNA from 1 species